CCGGCCGAUGGGGUAGGCGUUCACCCGUUCCGGUUCGGUCCGCUCGAUCUCGUGGGCGACGCAGACGAUCGUCGCCUCGGUCGGGCC
rnacentral:tRNA from 1 species